GAGGGGUGCAAGCGUUAUUCGGAUUUACUGGGCGUAAAGGGUGUGUAGACGGCUUAUUAAGUCGAUUGUUAAAUACUCCGGCCUAACCGGAGAUCAGCGGUCGAAACUGGUAUGCUAGAGGAUGGAAGAGAGAAGUGGAAUUCUCGGAGUAGCGGUAAAAUGCGUAGAUCUCGAGAGGAACACCGAUGGCGAAGGCAGCUUCUUGGUCCAUUCCUGACGUUGAAACACGAAAGCGUGGGGAGCAAACAGGAUUAGAUACCCUGGUAGUCCACGCCGUAAACGAUGAUCACUAGACGUCAAUUUUGUUUUACAGAAUUGGUGCCGUAGCUAACGCGUUAAGUGAUCCGCCUGGGGAGUACGGUCGCAAGACUA
rnacentral:rRNA from 1 species